CAUUCCGAGGAGCGUUGCAACGGAGUGGUGCCUUUUCCGCAAGGUCGCACCUUCCCGCCAGGCUCGGAAGUCUCUCAACCGCGCUCGCUGAUC
rnacentral:ncRNA from 2 species